rnacentral:rRNA from 1 species
ACGGAAGGCAGCAGCUAAGAAUAUUCCGCAAUGGACGAAAGUCUGACGGAGCGACGCCGCGUGGAUGAUGAAGGUCGGAAGAUUGUAAAAUCCUUUUAUAACUGAGGAAUAAGUAUGGUGAGAGAAACACCAUAUGGUGACUGUAGGUUAUGAAUAAGCAACGGCUAAUUACGUGCCAGCAGCCGCGGUAACACGUAAGUUGCGAGCGUUGUUCGGAAUUAUUGGGCGUAAAGGGCAUGUAGGCGGUUUUGCAAGCUUGGUGUGAAAUCUCGGAGCUCAACUCCGAAAUUGCGUUGAGAACUGCAUGACUGGAGUCACUGAGGGGCAAUCAGAAUUCCUGGUGUAGGGGUGAAAUCUGUAGAUAUCAGGAAGAAUACCAAUGGCGAAGGCAGGUUACCAGCAGAUGACUGACGCUGAGGUGCGAAGGUGCGGGGAGCAAACAGGAUUAGAUACCCUGGUA